CAUAAUUCAGGUUAUUAGGAGUUAUUGAGAGUUUCAGCUGUGGCACGUGUCUUUUUUUUUUUUGGUAGAGGGGCCAAGAGGAAGGAAACCUAUUCCAUGCAUCACUAGCAGCAACAAAAUUCAAGGGUAAGAGAAGGAAAAGGCACAGCGAAGGAGAUGUCUUUGAGACCCAGGAUGGAGUCAAGAGGAGGAGGGAGUACCAUGGCCUUGGCUGCUCCUUUUUUGAUGAAUGGGAUCUGGACUCCAGAGCAGGGAGGUGGCGGACGUAGCUGAGCCCAUAGAUGAUGUAGGACUGGAUUUGAUUGAUAAGGGGGGAGACAGGAAGAAGGGGGCUUAGAUUUUAGAUUGCAGGAGAAGCGGGGACAAGACACGGCAAGAAUCUGGUAGAAGAAGGAAGAGAAGCCAAAGACACGCUUGUGGUUGUGAUCCAGAGAAGACAGCAGGAUUAUCAGAAGUGCUCAGGAAGGGGAGGAUAAUCCUGCUGUCUUGUCUGGAUCACAACCACAAGUGUGUCUUUGGCUUCAUUUGAGACACACCGAGCUCAAGGUGUGGAAAAACACACCACGGCUUGGAAACAAAGUCUGAGUCCUGGCGUGAGCUCUCAGUACAGCCUCUCUGAAAUACAGCCUCAAUAUAUCGUUAAUUUGCAGAGUCUGAGGACGGAAGCGGAGCCAAGGCUAGCUAGAAGCCUCCUGUUUGUACCCUUCCUAAAUUCAUGGCAUUGUUUGUGUGCUAAUUAGUGUAGGAUUUAGAAAUGUACAUAACGGUGCGCUGCAAAGACAACACAGAGCGUUUAAUGAGGCGAUUUAAACCAGCAGAAGCGUGGCGGUCCGCUCUUCCCUGGUGCCCUCGCACAGGAAAACGAUCCUGGUAUUGUCGAGCCACUGUUUCCUUGGCCACGUCUCGGCUGCCUCGGGGCCAAGCCUGGGGUGCAGCCAGUGACCACCGUCGUCUUUCACGCACAUCAAAUCCUGGACGUUACUGUUUUAGAGCAGGCAGAAAUGCAUGCCAGGAAACGUGCCUGCAGGAGACAGGCAGCCGUCUGGGCUACGUGCUUGGUGCCACUUUAAAGUGGCUACGUCGCCCCGUGUCUGAGAUGUGGUGGCUGUGCAGUAGGAGCGCGUGGACCAGGUGCAGCCCCUGGACUGGCGCAGAGAUGUGGACAAGGCCCUUGAGGCACAGCUACGCGUGCUAAUAAGGUGUCGGUGCCUUUUAGCCGAGGGCGGGCGGGCUCGAUUCCCUUUGGCAGUGUCCUCCGCCCCGUCUCUGACUGCGGACUCCUUUUGGAUGGGAUGAUGUUGGAAGCUGGAAAUGGCAAAUUUGUGAAAUCCUAGGUUGAAUUUGCACCCAAAGGGCUUCGUGGGACGUGCUCCUCCUAGGAGCUGUUAUUAUAAAUACCAGGGUGGCCGACUCAGUGGAGAAAGCACAGCCACAGGACUGGGAGACCUAGACUCUGCGAUGGCUGCUUUGCUACUGGCUUGUCGAGUGACCCUGCGGAAGUUGCUUCUUUGACCUACAGGUUCCCUGUCUACAAAAUGAGAGUAAAAACACCACCAUCCCUUCGUAAAUGGGGGGACCAGUGAGUGGGAGGACUCGCAGAUUGUAGACCCCCAAGGGACGGUCUCACCCAUCAUCCCCGCCCUUCCCCUCCUUGCCCAUGCAAGCACGUUGAGUUUCUCUCAAAAGCUGAAUUAAAACGUCUUUUAGAAGAGAGUUGCUCCGAUCCUAAGGCCUCCAAGCAAUGGCUCCCUAGGUAAACUGUUCCAAUGUUUAAUUACCCUCCCUCACAGGAAUUGUCUUAUUUGAAGGUUGAAUUGGUUUAAUUUAAACUUCCAGCCAUUGGAUCUUGCUAUGUCUUUGUCAGCAAGACGGAAAAGCCCCCGGUAUCAGAUUGCUUUUCCAUAUAAAAGUGUCUGUAUGUGGUGAUAAACUCACCGCUUAGUGCCUUCUCUGCACUAAGAUGAGCUCCUUUAUGCCCCAGAUCACAAGGCUUGUCUUCAAGUGCCGGGAUCAUCUUCGUGGCCCGUAUUGGAAGUCUCUCCAGCGCCUUUCACACCUUUAUUGACGUCUGAACACCAGAACUGGGUAUGCUAUUGCAGGAACAGCCCUGCCAUUGCGUAGAGAGGUAAGAUCUCUUCUCUGCUUUUCCCUGACAUCCCAUUUGUAUUCUUCCUAGGAUUGCAUUAGCCACUUUAGCCACAGCCUGGCCUGCAGUGCUCACAAUGUGGUUAGGGUUACCUACAAUAACCCUUCAGUCCCACACCGAGGGUGUGGGCAGAUGUAACGCACAGCAUGUUCAAAAUGCACUUUAAACCCCCAAGGGUCUAGAUGUACAGGCCGCUGAAAACUGGCUUAAACUUCCUGGAAAAAUUCAGAGGUACACGAGGAAAAUCAAGUGAGCCGGUCCUUUGUGAACAACUCAGUUAUGUGGGGGCAGAGCAUUUUGUGCCUAACAUCUGGUUGGUCCUCCAGACAUCCCAUGCUGCACAGCUCCUCGCCCCUUCCUAACCCCGGAUACGUGCAGGGCAAGGGGAAUGCCACCAGGACUCCACCAAGCAAACCCCUGGUCCCAGCUCCCCUCACGGGAUGAGUGGACCACACAGGACUAGAAGCGGGUCCCCAAAUCAGGUAAGGAUCCCGCCCUCCCUGCUCCCUUCCCCUCCAUCCUCUCCUUCCCAUCCCUGCUCUCCUCCUACCCAUCGCUGCCGCUGUCCUUGCCUGGCCGCAGCUGCUCCAGCCGGGAAUAGCGGCACCAGGCGGGGUCCUCCUUCCUGAGACGCACUGCUGAGGCUGGAGGGAAGGGAGGGGAGAGAAAUUCAUAGCUGCUUUAGCGGGGAGGUGAAAUGAACAGCGUGGCUUUCACCGGAGGGGUUGAAAAGCCACAGAGAUCUUGGGGGAUCUUGGGACCCUGGAGCACACAGCCUCCUGGGCACCACAAGCAGGAGGCCACGCAAGCCCUCCACUUCUCCCUGGGAGAAACGAUGGUCUGGGUGCCGGACCGUGCCCUGGUGGGGUUUCAGCAGCAGUGCAUUCCCUAAAAAGUAAGGGUCCAAAUUAACACCCUCUGUAGCGUGUGCCAACACGUCUGUCCAGGGACAAUAGUGACCACGUUGCCAACCGGUAACGUAGUUGAAAUGGUUCAGGUGUUACAUCUGUCUGCACCCCGACUUCCAGCUUUCCAGAUGGUUUUCCAUUCCCAUAUAAUCUGUUCUUGGUUCCUGGCUAUAUUACCUUGAACUACAAAAGCAUUGUGUUGGAUUGAACUGGGCAACCUAGUUUAUUCUCAGCUUGUCGUCUCUCUCAUUCCAGUUGUUCUCUCUUAAUUGUUCAUUACCCACCCAAAAAUGGAGUCAUCUGCAUCUGCAAACUUUACCGGCAACCAUUUAAAUCAUCCUCUAGAUCAUUGAUAAAAAUAUUAACUUUGGAUCAAGAACGGGUCCCUGGAGAGCCCUGCUAGAAACUGCUCCCUUCGUUGACAACUAUUUUGCAAUCUGUCAGGGAAUCUGCUUUUUAAUCUCUCUAACAUGUGCCCUCCUAAUUCUAUAUAAUACAAGUUUUUUAAUCAAAAUGUCACGCGGUCCUUGGAGAAGUCCAGGAUGGCUGCAUUGACAGUCGCCUUUAUCAAUCAACCCCAUAAUCCUGCCUGGUUUUGACAAUAGGUUUGUUUGCAAGAAAUCUGCCUCCCACAGAACCACGCUGACUGGCAUUCAUUAUAUUUUUAGCCUGUAAUCCUUCAUUGAUAUCAACUAUUAAUUUAUUUUACCUGCUAUCCAAUAUCAGGCUAACGAGCCUAUCGUUCCCAUGGUUGUCUGUUUUACCUUUAUGAUCUGUUUGAAUAGCGUUGACGGUCCUCCAGCCCUUUGGAUAGUCUGCAGCUCUCCCAGAGUUGUUACGAAUUUAGAUUAGCGGUUCACUCAGCCAGUUCCCGAAGGAGCCUUGGGUGCAAAUGGUCAGGCGCUUCAUUGCCCUGACACACGUGUGCUCUGACAGAUGAGGUUAACGCACGCGUGCAUGUGACAGGUAUUGGCACAACACCCCGUAGACUCCCCUAGGCCCAUCCAAAGCUCCCCUCAUUUUAAUUCUCCUUUCAUACAGUGAUCAAACCAAAUUACAUGUUGCAUUGGACCCGUAUUGUGAAGGUCUUGAGCCGUCCCGUCCCAUGGGCUUGUUCCCGAUUCUGGUCUGGGACUUCCCACGCCAGCCUUAUCAUCCAUCCAGUGCUGGACCAUCCUGCACCUUGUGCAGCCAUCUCCUCCUCCUGGCACAUCUGGCCCAUAUCUUACCCACCUUCCAAGGAGUUUGUGCAUUGGUCAGGUUCACUGGUCAGGCCUACUCUGGCCAAUGCUUUAGCAAAGCCCUUGUAUGAGCAGUGUGUAUGUUGGGGGGAAAGUAGAACAAGGAGCAAUGGCCUGAAGUUGCAGCAAGGGUAAGAUGAGGUUGGAUAUUAGGAAAAACUUUCUCACGAGGAGGGUAGUAAAGCACUGGGACAGGUUACCCAGAGAGGUGGUGCAAUCUCCAUUCUUGGAGGUGUUGAAGACCCGGCUAGACAAAGCCUUGGCUGGGAUGAUGUAGUUGGGGCUGGUCCUGUUUUGAGCAGUGGGUUGGACUAGAUAUGACCUCCUAGGGUCCCUUCAACCCUCAUUUUCUAUGAAUCUGAGAUCAAUGUCCCAACAAGACCUACACCCUCCAACUCUCCAUUUCCUCCAAACUAAGCAUGACCCGUUCCUUCAACCUUUCCUUGUACCUCUGGCCCACCCCUGCAAACUUUCCAGGUCUCUGGAUUCAAUCCAGUUUCUCCAAAUCCUUCUACCCCUUCCCUGUAAAGUAUAACAGGUCUAGGUAGAAAAGACCUGUUGGGUCCUUGACUGUGUCUUCACUACAGUGCACAUUGCUUCCUGACAGCUUGUUAUCAGUCCGGCCUUUUAAUGACUCCAGAGAGGGUUGCUUUAGCAAUAUUUGCUUGGGAGACUGAGCUCAAUAAGGUUGGGCUCGGGUGGUGGGGUCCCUUUAGAUUAAACCCGACGGGUGGUGCCGGCGCUGCUGGUAUCACACCUGUUACGACUGACAGCAAAGGAUUUAGGGUCACGCAAUCAUACUUAAAUCUGCGUAGACAGAAAGAUGGAAACAGGUUGGUUUGUGUCUUGCAUGACUUAACAACCCCCUCCCUCCGUCACUCCCCAGCACACCUGCAAGAGGGAAUAAAUGGGUUGUAAAUCUGCUGAGAGUGGAAAGAGAAAUGAUGGAGGGUGGAAACACAGGACAAAAAGAACCUGGGAGUAAAUUGGGAGGGGACAGCUUGAGAGCCCACAAGAAAUGGUUGGAAAGGGGACGAGCCGGAGAGACCCUGAUGGCGGGGAGCAGGAAUCGGAGCCACACGUUUGCACUGGAAACGCGCCAGGAGUCCAGGAGGACUCGGCCGCAUGUUGCGGGGGACGGACGUCCCCGAGCGGUGGCUCCUGGCCCUCUCACUCUCUGAAUCCACUGCCACUUUGUCUGCGCUUGGGUUUGGGGACCUCAUUACCGGCGAGCGUAUUGAUGGAUUGGAGGGAUUUCAGCGAGGAGCAAUAAAAAUGAUCAGGGGCUGCAGGAAUUGACAUAAUGAGGAGCCAGGAUGAGAAGAGUCAGAUAUUUAUAGCUUGGGCGAGAGACAAUUAAAAGAACGAGUCAGUGCCUCGGAGAGUCCUCGCUGGUCUGGGCGACGGGAGGCCCUGCGUGUUCAGGCAUGAUGUGAAAGGCUUUCUGAAAGGCCCUGGUGAACCGGGGACGCGGCUCUUAGCCGUAGCCCCGUGCCGAUAUUUAUAGCCUUACAAUGCUGCCGACACGUGGGACACAGUCUGGGGCUGUGGGCUGCUUACUCCUCUCCACGCAAACUCUGACAACGAAGGGCGUUCCCAGAUGUGAAGGGACUUGACCAUGGUGACUUACAACCUCGGUGGCAGAGCCAGGAUGAAAAAGCAGCUUCUCUGUCCUGUGACCACAAGACCGUUUCUCCAGGCAGCUUCAGGUACAGGUCGGGCUCAUGGCUCGAUGCAGGUCAGGACCCCAAAGACCUAUCUCCUGCAGGGGUGCCGUGGGUUUUGUGCGAGCACAAGGACUGUGUGUUCAGAGAUGGAAGGAGCUGAGCAAGGGAGAGACGUUUUCCCCCGUCCAGAGGCUUUUCUCAUCCUCCUGCGGCCUCCGUUCUGCAGAACUCGUAGCAGGCGUCCCUGAAACCGCGGCAGCAACGACACCGGCCUCGACCUACUGACGGGACUCGGCGUUGUGUGUGUGUGUGUGGUCAGAGCUGGGUAAGAAUAAGGAGCCUCAGUCCCUGUGCUGUGGAGCCGAGACUUGCAUUGACUUGUGUCUGACAGUCACCCACGUGUGAGUGUGCGCGUGUGUGCAAGACGAUAGAGGUGGCCUCUCUCUCUUGCACACGCGCUUUCACGGCCACUCUUCCCGCGUUCCUGCGUCUCCCCCUCUACAUUCGCACGUGAACCCUCGCGGGGACGCUCUCAUUUACAGCGGCAGAAAACCCCCAUCUAUUAAACGCUGAAGAUUCAAUGUGCGCGCCUGCUUUUUCGCUGAGCCUUGAGUUAAAAUGACCUAUGGAAAGAGAGAUAAAUUAACACAGCGCCCCUCUCCUAAUGUUUCACAUAUGCUUCUCACAAGGACUUUUCCUUUUUUUUUUUUUUUUGUGCUUGACUGAGAGCAAAAAAAUAAUAAUCCAUAUUCCCCAACGCGCCGGGUUGGGAGAGCUUCAUGUUUCCUCUGCACUGCUUCGAACUGGGCUGCCGGGACAAAGUUAGAAACAACUUGGUUCCUGGGUCCCGCACGAUGUGCAAUGUUUAGGAGUGAAAACGAAGCCAGCGCCAAGCCCUGGGUGCUUGUCCGCGUGCGAGGGAGGGCAGGGAGCAAUCCGAUAAGCGUUUUCUUGAUGGCAGAGGUAGCCACUCCAUUUUAAUUAUACCUGUGCGCAGAGGCCACUGCUGCUUUUCAUCCAUUUCAAAUUAGUCUGACUUGCACAGAACAGACAUUGCCCUGGGUGACUGAAGGGAAGAAGAGGUGAGAAAAGCUCUCCAUUUCUUUUUUUUCACUGCUUUCGCCAUGUUGUCGAGCUGUGAUACGGGGUGCUAACCGAGGUGCAGCAAUCCUAUCCACAAGAGUGUUGAUUUAAGCCCCUUGGAUUGAUAUAACUUUGGAAAUGGUAAACUAUAUUAAUUUGCUGUGUUUUCAAGGGAAAGUUAUUUAUUGAGAGGCAUUUUUAACUCAAGUGCUGGAAGCCUUAAAUCAUUAUAAUAAAUUCAUGCUAUUCAGGGUUUCUUACUUUGUAAUAAAUUUGUUUUAAACAUGAA